UCCCUGGUAGCUCAGUGGUAAAGAAUCUGCCUGCAGUGCAGGAGACCUGGGUUCAAUUCCUGGGUAGGGAA
rnacentral:tRNA from 1 species